AAGGUUAUUUAUUCCUGGUGGAGGCUUACAAGAACAUACAUCGUACCUACUUAGAUUUAUUUAUUUUUUUUUCUAUAAGAGGAAUGGGAGAAGAAGAUGAUACUGAAGUAGACUAGCAUCAUGUCAUCCUUCCUAUAAGAAAGAAAAAAAAACCAUCAAAACACAAAUUUUCGAAUUGCUCUUCUGGUGAAACCAGAUCAGCUCUGAUUUUUGAAACAGAGGUCACUGUCCCGGAGUUAGAGCACACUGCUUUGUACGUUGAAGCUAAAACAUAACUGUGUAUCUUACCAGCAUUAUUGUAAAUAUACUCCUCAACCAUAACAGCAGAAUUCGAGAUUUGGGCAAAAGCGCUUGCCAGCUACUGAGCAACUCUUUGUGUUUCAGUUUUUGCACAGGGAAGUUGAAGAACCCACUGUAUGUUAAUGAAUAUUGCUGUUUGCAUUGUAGGUUGGCAACAGUGCUUUUUUUUCAUGUGGGAUAGUUGGACGCACGGCUGCUUAGUUAGCAUUUUAGUUUUCCUCGCGUAGUUAUCAACAUGAGUGAAAAUAUUCAUACGCGGAUUUGAGAAAGUGGAGCCACUGUCAAACCAGUUGCUAAAAUGUUCAGAGCAGUGUAAGUUGAAGACAUUUUUCAGCUGUGUAAAAGAGCUUUUAGCCCCUAAUUCCAUAGUGAAUGGUGAGUUCUAUAAGAUGAAUCCUCUAUCUGCUCUUUUGUAAACCAUGUAUGCUCCUCGUUUUUACAGAUGCUUGGGUUUUCUGUUUUUAUUUUUCAUAAUGCUCUUCCACACGCACACUUUCCCAUCUCCCACCUCACCCUCCCAAAUGCAAUCAUCUCUCUGCAUGAUUGACCUAAGUGAUCACCAUGGUUUCCAAGUCAAUUCAGGUCCCUGAAGAGGACUUUUAAUUAAGAAGCUCUAAUAGGAACUAGGAGAAAACUUGUAAGUCACUGGUCUUCAGGCUGAGAGCUACAGAUCCCGGGGGUGUCUGUGGCCAACCAGCAAGGCACCCUAAGCACGUCCUUUCCAGGAAGGUCGUAUCCUACACGGAAAUCUGCAUACGUACAUUUACAGAUCUAGACAUCUGCUGGAAGAUUCCUAGGGAGCACAAAAAGUGGAAAAAGUCUUAAAUAGGCUGCUUUUGAGAAAUGGUAGUCACUGAGAGAGCAGUGAGGCAAGGGCUGGGCUGCACAGCAGUGGCUCUUUGUGCCCAGGCACGUGUUUGAGCUAGCCAGGCUUAAAUCACCAUCGCCUGAAUUGCAGAUGAGUACAUGGAUGGGAUUUCCAAAAGCACUUGAUAUUGGUCUGUAUUUACAUGGCAGGAACAACCCCACCUUGUGUGCAUGGGCACGUAUGAAGCAGUGUGUGCUGGUGUUUACUCAGCAUCUCAUUACCCUCCAGAAAACAACCUGUGCUGGCUGAUGUGGUGCUUGGUAAUGCCAUGCAGAAGCACUCCAGGAUGCUUUCGCACCGGGAGCUCCAGCACUGGUCACAAAGGAGAACAAGAAGUGAGACUGGAGAACAUUUUGGACCUUUUUCAAGUCUGGUAUUUGCUGAAAAGCAAAGUUCCAGAAAACUGGAGGUGCAUAAAAACUUGAGAUAACUUUGGUGAAUUGUUCUUGGCCGGAAGACAAAAUGGAAAAUUUAAAUGUUCUGUGUAGAUUGUUUUAGGACUAAACAUCUUGAAUUUCUCUUUCAAAAUGCUCUCCCUUCUGGCAAUUCUCUCAAAACUUCUGGUCAUAUAAAUCCGAGUUAUUGAAGAUACUGCUUGAGGACUCCUGUCAGAACAAUAUUUUUUUAAUUGGAAUUUUUUUUUAAGCUCUAUUUAGUUGAAAAUCUCCAAAGUUUUCCUUUGGAAUGAAGCUCGAAACAAAUUAUUUUCUUUCAGCUUAUUACUACUCGCUUAGCUGUCUGAACAAAAAGUGCUAUGCGAGUUCCCAAGAGGGGAUGAUGGGAAGUUCGAAAAGAGAAGAAAUUGUCAAAUAAAAGAUUCAGUUGUGGUAAGUGAGCCCCUCGACACGGCAGGGUCCAGGCCGGGACUGCUUGUGCCGAGGUGCCCGUGACUCCUGGCUGCAGCACCCCCUGUGCCUGACGUGUGCUGCCCUGGUGAUUCACAGAGCAAGGAGCCUUAAAUACUGCACUAAUGCAACCUGUGGGCUGAGUCCUCCCUCAGCUCCCCUGCCAAACCCCAAAAUCAGCAAUUUGACCAGUUUUGCAGAGAGAAGCAGCCCUGGCUUGGCCGGGCUCUCAGCAGACCUGGUUUGUAUCCGCUGCAAAGGGGGAUUCGGCACCUCCCUGCUGCCCUCUGGAAAACCCUUCGUAUCCUCCAAGGAGGAAUAAGAGCGGCACUAUUGUAACUGGGAAAUGAAUUGCUUACUUUCUGGAUUUGGCAGCUUCCCGUUUCGGAAACCUGAGAUACUGACUCCAAUUUCUGCUUGCUGCCAGCCCAGGAGGAGGGGAUCCAAGGCCGCACAUCCCGUGAGGCAGCGGUCCAUUUGCUAACCGUGCCUGCCGGACAAUGCCACUUACACCGGCCACAAAAACACCCCGAACCUGUGCUGCCCAGAAAAUCACCACGGCCUUGAACUCCCGUCCUUCUGAAGCAGCUCCCGGCACUGCGCAUUCAGGCGGCGUACGCUGGCCUCUCUCACAGGGCAGCGAAAUACAGGACUGCUUGUUACUGAUUAAUUUAUGAACAUGCCAGUUUCCAGACCUAAUUAUGAUAUUGUGAGCAGCUGCAUUAUAAAAAAGAUGUCUGACUUGCCAUACAUAAUGUAAUGGAUCUUUUGCUUCAAGGACUCCGCUGCCCUUUGAAAGUCAAUGAGGGCGGGCUGCGGGCCUGGCAUCGCCGCGGGCGUGCUGUGGCAGCGUGGUCCCGGGGCUGUCACGAUGCAUUUGGCUCCCCAGCUGCGGUGUGGGGUGGGGUGGGGGAAGGAUUAAGGUUCAGAGCCGCCUGUGCAGUCAGGAGGAUGUCAAGGGGCUGCUCUGCAGUCUGUUUUUGCGUGUUUCUGUCAGAAGUGCUGGUAAAGCUGGGCUUUGCCUCUGUGAGAGCUUUUUAGUAAGGAAAAUGCCCUUUACUUUACAACAUAGUGAUUCCUCUUCUGCUGCUUCAGGACACGUUACUGCUGUGUAAAACCAACAUCUGUCCCAUCUGCAUGGCCAGGCCGGUCUGCCCAGCAGCUGCAUCAGCUUUGAAUGGGAUCCGAGCUGAGACUGGCAGCUCGGCACACUCAGGGGAAUGACCUGCAGGGGUUUUCCCUCCGUGAUUCAACACUUUCCUACCUUGGAGCACUGAGAAAGCCUUUGGGUCUUGCCCUUCGGCCGGUGGACCUGUGGGGACACUUUUGGCUGGGAGAUGCAGCUCUUUGUUUUAGAGACAAUGACUGCAGAGGAGAUUGGUUUGACAGCCAGAGCUAAGUGAAAUGCUUUUGUGGCUGCAGAUGGCAACUGCAUAAACUGGUGAUAGCUACUGCUACUUCCUCUAACUCCAGUCUUUACAGAUCAGUGGGUUAUGUGCAUUUUUUGGUGACACCUCCUGAGGGAUGUGGCUGAAGACAGAGUCAACAUUGCUGCUUUCCUGGCUCCACGAAAACCUGACAGCCAGAGACAGGAGUGCAAAACAGCAUCUGGGUUGCGGGGACGCUUCCCGUUUCUUCCCUCACUGCUCACGGGACUGCUAAACAUCCAGGCUUCACACCAGGCAGGAAUUUGGCACAGAUAUCGGAGUGAGUUUUCCCCAUUCAGCAGCAGAAAGACAGAAGCAGAGGUGUGAUUAGGUUAUUAAAAGAUGUUCUUAAAAGAUACUCUUUCAAGAGUACCAUGUUCAAUUGCUACCAAAGUGCAACUGCCUUCUCCAGCAUGGGAAGGAGCCCAUGCACAUGGGAGUGCCCAAACCACCUGGAGCAAAUCUGUCGGGGGGAAAUGCUUAUUUCUGCCCAUUUAAACAAAGGGAAUAUCAAGCACCUGUGUGAUGCAGCAAGGCCAACUUGCCAUGCACUCCAGUGAAGUUGAAAUCGAGGACGAGUAGCCAAGCCUAUUUUCUUUGCGAGUUGCCCCUAAGUGGGGACUGAACAACCCAAUUCUUCAGGUCCAGUUUGGGUUCCUCCCCCUGCCCCCACGGACACCCCAGCCAUUGGUUUGCUUCCUUUCUCCAUAUAGGAAAGAGGGGAAAAAGCCAGAGCUGGUGUUUGCUUCCAUUUCCAGCUUUUAAGGCUUUGCUGUAACCAUUGAAGGACUUAGAGGAACCCUGUCCUGCUCGAGCUGUGCUGAAUGCAGGCAUAACCCGAGCAGCCAGCUAGGAAGAACUGCUCUUCAAAAACCCUUCCCUUAAUCUGAGCAGGACACUAAGGGUCUGGCUUUUUUUAAGGCCCUUUUGAAGCUUGCCCAGAAGAUUAACGUGUAAAUGCAAAGAAUGCUCUGGAAGCUCUUGAAUGGAGAUAGCUAUUUCCAAAUGGCCAUGGGAUUAAACUGAUUGUAGAAAAAAAAUAAAGAGAUGAUUAAUGGCAUCGUGGCCAAAAUAAGGGUCAAUUUUAUUCAUCUGCCGAAAACAUCUCCCAAUGAGAAGAAAUGUUAAGUUACAUGGAAAAACGACCGCAACAACCGCGUUAACAGCGUCUGGGCGGCACUGCCGGGUGUGAAACGCGCCCCGGUGCCAAAGCUGGAGGUGCACGCUCUGCUCUGCAGCCGUGUGGUGCCGUGGUCCCUUUUGGCGGUGUUAGCUACAGACUGGCACGUCUUUCUGGGGGGAGGAUGAGCUGGGUCUCUUAAGACCCAGUGGCCAGGCCGGGAUAAGAGCUGGAAGGGUGGGAGAGCGCCCAGGGCACCUGGCCGGCACUGCAGCUGUCCCUCUGGGCACGGAGCAGCUCUCCUCUGCCACACACAGGGCCUGUGGGGGGGAGAGGAGUCCCAGCCACACACACACUCCUUGAAUGACUGCCGAACGUGCCUGUAACACAGAGCAGUCCCAGGCAAUUAUCGCUGCGCCGAGCCUGCUCUGGGGAGCCUUGCUUUCCUGGGCCGAAUUGCAACUCUCGAAUCUCGGUUGGUUUGGCUGAAAAAAGAUCACGGCACUGGUCUGUUUUCACUGACGGCUGUUUCCCGCUCCGUUGUCAUUAAAGUGAAAUAUAAAGGAGUCAAACUCUGGCUUCACUGAGACUGGUAAAAAAUGGGGCUUCGGGGGGAUAACUGCAAUUCACACCGCAGCAGCCAGUGCUGUGCCUACCUUGGUUCUCAGCCAGCGAAUUUUAAAGCAAACACCCUCCAGGACUGUUCUCCACUUGGAUUUAUUAGUCAUUACCAAGAAAAGAUAAUUAGCACUUCUGAAACAUUGUGAUAAUCAGUAGCAGGAACUGUUACCCAUAGAAACGGGCUGGGGUGCUGGUGCAGCGCAGGAGCACGGCAGCUCUGCUCUGGGCACAGCGCCCCGCCUGUCCUCUGGACGGAGCGAGGACUCCGGUGGGCACAGCCUCAGCUGAAGGAAAUGCUCAUAAAUACCAGCACGCUCAUAAAUACCAGCAUCCGCGGAGGGGACGCCAGCUUACACAGGCUAAGGCAGGGAGUGGGGUCACCCCUUGGCUGCUGGGCUUCUCUGUUCACCUGCAGGCCGACUGACUGUUGGUACCACGUGCAAACCUGGCUGGUUAAAGGCAAUGGCAAAUAUUGCUCCUUCACUGUGCAGCAGAAAAAUAAGAGCUAGGUAGUUUCCUUUUGCCGUUUUUUAUCUUUUCCCUGCUGACUCAAAGGAAAAUAACCCUGUGGUGGAAUGAAGGGAACCGGGCCGCACCUCGAUCCUUCAGACAAUGAUGCUAUUUUUUCCCCUUUUCUUUCUAAAUUGAUGAGAAAACUGUUGGACUCAAGUCAGCACUAAGACUCCAGAAUCAGUACUUCCCUUAUUAUUCCCCAAACUUCCAUUAAUUAUAAUAAUCUGUAAUAUUCAUACAAGGGAUGGGAUAUAAAUCUCAUGUGCUUAGUCUAAAACCCUAAGCAUUAAGCAUGCCGGGCUUCCUGCUAUGCAAAGGAGUAUUACUUAAUCAGCUCAGAGGAGUGGGUCUAUUAGAUUUAUCAGUGUUGGUAUCUAAAUAAAUACUAGAAUGCA